rnacentral:lncRNA from 1 species
CAUGCUUUUCCUCUCUUUAUUGUGACAUGAAUUUUUCCAGGUGAUUUUCAUGCCUCAGAUUUUGCCAUAUCAUGAUCUCCCAAUAAUUGCUCAUUAAAUUCAAGUAUUUUCACAUGAUAAAUAUUUUAUCAUGUAACAAAUGGUCACAGACUCCCUCAGGAUUUCCAAAGCAGCCUUGGGACAUUUUACUUUCAUUUUUUAAACUCACAGAUGUAAAUAUAAGGUGGAAGAAAAUUGAGGAAAUUAUGAAUAUUAUCAAAUUGCUGCCACUGAAUAUCCUUUUGGUGUCUUGUAGAAGCACACACACAUACUAGUCUGGCAAGAGAUAAGCAAUCUUUAUUUUUCCUACUAUAUUCAAUUAUAUGUUUAGUAUUGAAGGAUAAGCUAUAAAUCAAGAUUUAGAAUGAUAAAGGGAAAAACUUACCAUCAUAACACUUAUAAAUUGGUAACAAAAGUUUCUAUGGUUUAUAGUGGUCUGUUUAUCUGACCCAAUUAAUUUUACUAACACAUGGAAGUCAAUUUCAUCCCCUGUAAGUGUCAGCUGUAUAUGAUUUUGAAACUAAUUGAAAUUAUACUGGUUGUGGUAGAGACUAUGGUUUCCUUAUCAAAUAUUCAUUCUUUUUUUCCUCAAAUUUAUGGAAUCCCAGUAUUUUACUGUGUAUAUUUACCUAGCUAAAUACUACAUUUUCCAGCUUUCUUUGCAGCUAGUUAUAGUGAUGUGAUGUGACUUAGCACUGGCUAAUGAGAUUGCUGUGGGACAGGUACCCCACAAGGUUAUUUAAGGGUGUAUACCCACCGUUUCAGCCCUCAAGGCUGGGUAGUGAGCCAAGGCCAACAGGCCAAACCAAACAGCAGGUGUCCUUGAGAAACCAAACAUCCCACAGCAUAGCUGGGAACAUCCCAUGGAAAAUAGUCUUAGCGUAUAUACACAGUAGACAAAAAGCCAGAAAAUUAGCUUAAAAGCAGGUUAGUGAUGAGUGGCAAGGUGGAUCUCUGAAGCUGUCCUGCUGCCGCCCAGAAGUACCCUGUAUGAAGGUCCUAAUAAACUUAUCUACUUGCCAAGUUGGACUUCUCCAAGUCAUUCUUUGGUCUCUCAGCUACUUCCUAGUUUGGAAAGAUGUUAGAGUCCCGAAUUUUUCUCGUAAUAGAGAUGUAAGUGGAAGAGUUGUUUGUAACUUCUGCAAUGUGCCUUUAGCAGAGACAAGGCAAAUAUUUGUUCCU